GAACACCCGAGUGCCAGACUAAUUGUUAAGCUGGCAACUUGAGACUGGUCAGUCUGGUUUUAUUUCAAACAGAGAGGAGUGAGUAAUUCUUGAAACGUCCAGACAGACGGUCCUAGUAAGGCUAAGGACUUCGUUUGAACCUCGCGGUUUGAUGAGUUUGGAAGAGUCUGGGUGAGGCUUCGAUGAGUUGGAAAGUAAAUUGAUUGUCGCGUCGAUGGAGCCAGCGGUGCGGAGAGACGCGGAAUUGAUCACUGUUAAGUGGGUUUUACGAACUAAUAAUUGUCUCUUUUCUUCUUUCGAUGAUUGGCUGUGGCGAGUGUAGCGUUACGAUACGUUUUAUGACGACUUUGUUGGAAAAAUCGAAUAGUUCUGUUCAGUUGUUCGAGCAAGUGUUUCAUGCGUUGCUGUACUAAACUCGUCGACUAAAACGGAUAGCAGAUU
rnacentral:misc_RNA from 1 species